AUUGAACGCUGGCGGCAGGCUUAACACAUGCAAGUCGAGCGGAGGAAGGUAGCUUGCUACCGGACCUAGCGGCGGACGGGUGAGUAAUGCUUAGGAAUCUGCCUAUUAGUGGGGGACAACAUCUCGAAAGGGAUGCUAAUACCGCAUACGUCCUACGGGAGAAAGCAGGGGAUCUCCGGACCUUGCGCUAAUAGAUGAGCCUAAGUCGGAUUAGCUAGUUGGUAGGGUAAAGGCCUACCAAGGCGACGAUCUGUAGCGGGUCUGAGAGGAUGAUCCGCCACACUGGGACUGAGACACGGCCCAGACUCCUACGGGAGGCAGCAGUGGGGAAUAUUGGACAAUGGGGGGAACCCUGAUCCAGCCAUGCCGCGUGUGUGAGGAAGGCCUUAUGGUUGUAAAGCACUUUAAGCGAGGGGGAGGCUACUCUAGUUAAUACCUAGGGAUAGUGGACGUUACUCGCAGAAUAAGCACCGGCUAACUCUGUGCCAGCCGCCGCCGUAA
rnacentral:rRNA from 1 species